UACGUAGGGGGCAAGCGUUGUCCGGAUUUAUUGGGCGUAAAGAGCGUGUAGGCGGCCUGGUAGGUCAGCUGUGAAAACUCGAGGCUCAACCUCGAGACGCCGGUUGAAACCAUCAGGCUAGAGUCCGGAAGAGGAGAGUGGAAUUCCCGGUGUAGCGGUGAAAUGCGCAGAUAUCGGGAAGAACACCCGUGGCUAAGGCGGCUCUCUAGUACGGUACUGACGCUAAGGCGCGAAGGCGUGGGGAGCAAACAGG
rnacentral:rRNA from 1 species